rnacentral:misc_RNA from 1 species
AUGCACUUCACCCACAUCU